GGUUCUUCAAUUCUACUGGAGUCAGGGCAGGUCACGGGCAGAGUGACGAGGAGGCUCUUAAUUCGAGUUGCCUCAAAUUACAUCUGUCCACACAUGCAUGCAGAGUACCACUUACAAAAUAAAUGAGGUGAAUUUCUCUUUAGGGGUUCCCUUUUAUCUCAGGGUUUCAAAGCCCUUUGCCACAAAAUUCCCGUCUUUAUUCAUUUUCUCAUCUAAAUAUAAACCAGGAGCCCUCAGGGUUAAGGUUCGGUAAAGCCCUUUGAACUUCUGCAAAGUAGCAAAGAAAAACAAUUAUUUUAUCGUUAGAAGAGCCAAGUGGCCAACCGAGGACCACACAGCCAGGAAGCUCUCCUUUGGAUGAAAGGCCACACCUCCCAUCAGAGGACCGGCUUGCUAAUUAAAAUCACAAUGAAAAUCAGCAGGGGAGAGGGAGGGGGGUGUGACUCAACGCCUUACCCAGAAACAGAAACACUCACAACUGACUCACUUAGGAUAUAUCAGAUUUUUCUCCAGCAGGCGUUUGAAAAACAGAAAGGAAAUUCGAGUCCCGGCCGCCCUGCAUCUACUGACCCAGUAAACUCCGUGUUUGUGUCGGUGACACAUCCCUGACUCCCAGCCACCUCAGCAGAGUCCCCGGUCUCAUGCGGAUGGGAAGCUUGAGUGUUGUUUGCAUACACGUUUUUAAGCAAAGGAAAGUCUCUGAAUCGCCCGGAUUCCAGCAGGAGAGGACGUGGACUCAGCCUGUCCCAUCAGGACACCCUAUGCCCCUGGUCUGGAACAUGGAACUUCUCUGAAGCAGAGCCAGGCAGACUCCUUUGGGAAGAUUAAGUAAGAUACAGGAAGAGAUUGCCAGGUGUGAAGACACUGUAAAUUUAGCUCUGCCGCGGGCAUGCCCAUCCCUGCCGUCAUAGAGAAGGAGGUGGGCUAAGAAUUAAGCCAGCUUGGAAGGAUGAAGAACCCAGAGGGAAGAAAGCAUCCAGAGGACAGAGCUGAAUCUUGGAGCCGCCUGUGCCGGGAGCAAAACUCCCCACCCACCUUGGACUUUCCAGUUACAGGAUGCAAUCAAUUUCUCUUACGUUUCCGAAAGGUUGCAUUUCUGUCCCUGGCAACCUAAAGAGACCUGACGAAUGUGGGAGUAACCCAAGAGAAAAUAGGAAAGUAGCUGGAACUAUGUGACGGAGGCCCUGCAUGCCAGACAAAAAGGUCUAGACUUGUUUUUGAAGACGAGAUGAGCCAUAUAAAUUAGGAGGCUGUGACAGUGCAUGCUGAGGUUCUGUGGAACGAGCACAGCCAGGUGUGGCCCCAGCCAUAUCACUUGCUGGCUGGAGAGCCCGUGCAGGUCCCCAGCCGCUAAGUCCUCAUCUGCAGAGUGAAGGUGACCCCACCCUCCUUGCAGGUGGCUGUGAGGAGGACGCUGAAUGACACCCGAAGCACCCGAUGUGAUGUCUGGUGUGACAAUUCUUCGUGGCAUGACAGUGGAGGCGGCAGUGGUGAUGGAAGAGGAUGAGGACGGGGGAGGCAGCAGAGGAAGAGCAUUCCUGGAUUAGGUUGGCAGGAGUGGACGUGACCCAGAAGGCUGGUGAUGAGAACCACUGAUGAACAGCAGCAGGACUGCAUGCCACCUGGAACCAGGAAGGGAGCAAAAGGAAAAAGUCAGUUACGAUCCAUGGUGACAACAUCUCUUGAAUAAACUGAUUCUUGAACUUUUUCUUCUCUUCCAUCACACCACCCCACACAGAAAAACCAACAAGAAAAAGGCCCUGGUGUGUGUGUGUGUGUGUGUGUGUGUGUGUGUGGAUGUGUUUGUGUCUGGGAGGAAAAGGACGGCUUUCCUUUCUUCCAUAGUCUUUCUCUUGAUCCGUCCUGGGGUUUUUGUUGUUUUCUUGGUUUGUUCGUUUUGGCUAUUUAACGUCACAUUACCUCAACACAACGAUGCUCACAGGACCAGAGCAGACCCUCCAGGAGCCUGCCUUCCCCCUUCUCACUCUGGGGCCCAGGUCCAGUGCAGGGAGCAAAGGGCCUUCAUGGCCCCUGAGCAGGGAUGCAGGAAUCGGCAGACAGGAACUGGUCUCUGGAGGCAGGGAGGUGGGGCGUGGGGGGUUGAGGGGUUGGGAUUUUGGGUGAGUGAGGCUCCAAGACCCCGGCACCUCCUCUAAUGUCCAGGGGGCUUCAGUUAGAAAAAUAUAACUUCAAAAUAAGGUUAUUGGAAAUUUCCAGAUGGCGACCACAGAAUAUUAAACUCCAAGCAUGUGGCUCCCUUCUGUGAUGGUUAAUUUUAUGUGUCAACUUGACUGGGCCAUGGGGUGUCCAGAUAUGCACUCAAACAUUAUUCCUUGAGUCUCUGUACGGGUGUUUUGGAAUGCCACCCUGCCCAGUACACUUUCUGAGCACAAAGCCUUGUGUGACUACACUGGUUCCAUACACAGGAGACAGAAAGAGAUUAGUAGGAAGAAGAAACUGACUUGCUUUUAAUGAGCUCUCAGUCAUGUCUUGCUGCCACUAUGAAGUGCAAAUAAUUUUGUAUAUAAUAUAUAACAAUGAAGGUAUAGGCCCCAUAAGACAGCUUACAAAUUUCAUGUGCCCAGAUCACUUACUGAAACCUAUUUAUCUAGAAAAAUAUUAAUUUCAUAUGCAAAAAGGUGAGAAUUUACAUUGAUUUUCUUUGUGGCAUUUUAGGUUCAAAAUCCCUAGUAAUCUAGAAAUUAUUGUAUUUUCAAAUAUACUAAAUUAUAUAAACAACUGUGUAUUAAAGAAGCUUCCCUUCUUUGUCAGCUG